CUUUAGUUUUCAUUUCAUCUGCAUCUCGGCCAGAGACAAAUCACAGAAAUGCAACUGGGAUCCUCAAGCGGCAACAACUUAUAAAUUUAUUGGCUUUGUCCUAUGGCUGAUCCCAUUCCGGUUGCGACGAUCAGAUCUGGCGGACCUUGGAAAUGCGGAUCUAUGUAACGGGACCAUCUGGACUUACUUGUGUUUCUUCUUUUGCGCAGUCUAUUAGUUCGACGCACGUCCAACAGCAUUCGGGCCAGGGCCUGGCUGACGACACGCCAGUGUCCGUGCAGUCUGCGAACGCAGCUGUACAGUAGCAUUAGAGGAGAAUCAUAAUCAAAAUCUGAAUCAGAAUCAGAGAUUCAAAACGUUUGCUUGUCAGUUCAGAGACUGGAACUUGGGCGAUACUUGCUAGUGGAUCAGUACGUCGCCGCCGUUGUUUUGGCAAUGAAAAACCCCGCAGACAUCCGGGUCAUCCUGCAUUCCAUGGACAACCAUGUCGCCGUUUGGUCCCUUGCAGCCUCCAUCUAAAUAAAUGCAAAGAUAACCUCUGGCGAAAAAGAGAGAUUGAACAAGGAGGAGGGAGUCACCUGCUCCUGGUCGAAGAGCUUUGAAGUGCACCCAAGAGUUUCCCACUGUCAGGAGCAUGAACUCCAUUAGAAUUAAGAUUGUGUCGCGCUGACUUUAACACUUUGCAACGUCGUCGAUCAUUUCGCUUUAUGCCAGUGCGACUCUGUGUCUGUGGCUGUGUGUGUGCGAGAUGGAGAAAAAGAAACAAGCAUGUUGUACAUGUGUAAAACCUGCAACACAUGCAACAUGCAGCAGCAGCAGCCAUGUGCUGGGAGGGAGUGGAGCCAGGCCAGCCGAACGGUGCAACUGUGGAACGGGCCUUCCUUCCACAACGAAGAGCGCAUAAAUUUCACUUGGCCCCAAUUUUAAUUAAAAUUUAAAAAAUCCCCAAAACCCCAAAUCGCCGCACCGAUGCCGGCAUACUCUUUCCGAAUGCUAGGACCCUGCCCAUUGCUUUGCUCCUUUUGCGGCCGCCCUGCGCUGUGAGGAUAUGCUUCGCCUUGGCGCUGCGCGACGUUUCCGCGGCGCGAAAAAUUGGACAAAAUAAAAAUAAAACCAUGUAACAGUGUUAAUGUAAGAUGACGGCAAACAAAAAUAAACGAAUAAGAGAAAAGAAA